rnacentral:lncRNA from 1 species
CCCCUGGGUUGUAUGAAUAAUUUAAUUGCUUCAGUUCUAUAUAUACCGCGUCCCACAUGUUUCAUCAAGUGUCAGAUAAUACAGAACCUACUUCGCCAAAAUGAAGAAAAUUGAGGUCAGUAUAAAUUCCAAACACACCAUCAAACCAUCAUCUUCCUCUACACCACUACAGCCUUACAAGCUUACCCUCCUGGACCAGCUCACUCCUCCAACGUAUGUCCCUAUGGUAUUCUUCUACCCCAUUACUGACCAUGUCUUCAAUCUUCCUCAAACCCUAGCAGACUUAAGACAAGCCCUUUCCGAGACUCUCACUUUGUACUAUCCACUCUCUGGAAGGGUCAAAAACAACCUAUACAUCGAUGAUUUUGAAGAGGGUAUCCCAUACCUUGAGGCUCGAGUGAAUUGUGACAUGACUGAUUUUCUAAGGCUUCGGAAAAUCGAGUGCCUAAAUGAGUUUGUUCCAAUAAAAACAUUUAGUAUGGAAGCAAUAUCUGAUGAGCGUUACCCCUUGCUUGGAGUUCAAGUCAACAUUUUGGACUCUGGAAUAGCAAUCGGUGUCUUCAUCUCUCACAAGCUCAUCGAUGGAAGAACGGCAUACUGUUUUCUCAAGUCCUGGGGUGCUGUUUUUCGAGGGUGUCGUGAAGAUGUCAUACAUCCUAGUCUCUCUGAAGCAGCAUUGCUUUUCCCACCGAGAGAUGACUUGCCUGAAAAGUAUGCCGGUCAGAUGGAAGGGUUAUGGUUUGCCGGAAAGAAUGUUGCUACAAGGAGAUUUGUAUUUGGUGCGAAAGUCAUAUCUUCAAUUCAAGAUGAAGCGAAGAGCGAGUCCGUGCCCAAGCCAUCACGAGUUCAGGCCGUCACUGGUUUUCUCUGGAAACAUCUAAUCGCUGCUUCUCGGGCACUAACAUCAGGUAAAAUCAGUUUAUCAACAAGCCAAAUAAUAAAGCCUAAUGUAUUUGGGGUACUUAUUUAUAUAUUUUUAUUACGUAUAUCUAGUGUACUGUGUACAUAGCUCAAAGAAUGAGAAAAUAUAUGAACUUGCAGGUACUACUUCAACAAAACUUUCUAUAGCAGCCCAGGCAGUGAACAUAAGAUCACGGAUGAACAUGGAGACGGUGUUGGAUAAUGCCACUGGAAACUUGAUGUGGUGGGCACCGGCCAUACUACAGCCAAGUCAUACAACACCAGAGAUUAGUGAUCUUAAGCUGUGUGACUUGGUUAACUUGCUCAAUGGAUCUGUCAAACAAUGUAACGGUGAUUACUUUGAGACUUUCAAGGGUAAAGAGGGAUAUGGAAGAAUGUGUGAGUAUCUAGAUUUUCAGAGGACUAUGAGUUCUAUGGAACCAGCACCAGAGAUUUAUUUAUUCUCGAGCUGGACUAAUUUUUUCAAUGCACUUGAUUUUGGAUGGGGGAGGACAUCAUGGAUUGGAGUUACGGGAAAAAUUGAAUCUGCAUUUUGCAAUUCCACAAUGUUGGUUCCAACACAAUGCGAUAAUGGAAUUGAAGCAUGGGUGAAUCUAGAAGAAGAGAAAAUGGCUAUGCUAGAACAAGAUCCCCAGUUUCUAGCGGUAGCAUCUCCAAACCCCCCAAUUUCAAGGUGUUGAUUAAAAAAGAUUAUGUGGCUCGUGCAAUGUUUCGAUUUUGUAGUGAAUAAGGUUUAAAUUAGUUCACCAGCCAAUCAAUAAGAUGCAAGUAUGAUAGACUCUGUCUACGUAUGUUAUCCGAAUGUGUUUUCGAUAUGCUUGUAACCAAUAUAGCUCUUGUUUGUAAUAAUGCUCUGUUAAGCUUCUAUCUAUAAAGUUAUUUCUCUUGAUUAAAGAAAAAACUAUACAAGUUUUGUUAAGCUUUAUUCUAUUUUUAAGAUAGGAUGUAUGUAGUACCUAUAAAGAUGGUUCACCUAUUAUUAUUUUCAAAUACAUGAUUAUCCGGUACAAUUACGUAGAAUAUUUCUAUAGCUAAAAAAAUGUAAUUUUGAUCCGUGACAACAUGAUUAAAAAAUUACAUAUUCUGAUACAUUUGUUCUCUAACGACAAGCAUGGCCAUAAUGCCUCACCUGAUCAUCUAUGUGAUGGGGUAGUGUCCUUUCUUUUUAAGAGAAGGUAGGCACCUAAUGUGAAGGCCUCUACGAGAGACUAAUAUUGUCUGAUCUUCUUUUGUUCAUCAAAUUAAAGAAACGAAAAUGGCCACAAUGCCUCACUAUUGAUAGAAGAUAGAACCAUACAAUAAUUUGGAACAUAUGCAUGGAGACAAGGAAAUAUAACACAAUAAAACCAUUAUAAUUUCACUUUAUGUGGGAAACUUGGCCAAAACCGAAUCACAUCCACGUUGGCAACAAAAAGUGACUGGAAAAAAAGAGCCCCCAAAAAGCUAAAACACUAUAAAAACCAGAAAACUUGAAUAAGCGAAAAACCAAAAGUAUGACAUUUACACACACACUCUAUCUCUCUCUCAAAGUCUGAAAACUUGCGCAAUAAGGUACCUAGCUCUCUGGUCUUUUCUUUCUAAUGCAUAUAAGUCCCUGUAAAUUUUAUGGCUUUUGGAAUGAUGAUUUUAUGCUUGUGGAUCUCAGAUGGGUUUGUUUUGUUUUGGGAUUUUUAUAAAUGAAUCCAUUGAAAAUGUUGAAAGCUUAUGCCUUUGUUCCUUGGUUCACUGUUCUGGUUUUGUAAAUUGUGUGUACGAGAGUUGAAAUGUUGGUUUUGGUAAAGAGAAAUGUUCUAUAACCAUGUAAGUUAUCUUCUAAAGUUGUUCGAGUACUGCAUAGGAAAUAACGACCUAAACUGCUAGAUGCUCUGAGAAACUUAAUUAUCCGAUUCGUUGUGAUAAAUUAAUAGAACCAUCAAUAGCCGUGAUAGUCCCUUAAUAUUUGGUGGCUAAUUAGCAAUGCAUUCAUGGUAGUUGCAUGUGCUUAUUUUGUGCAGUAUUCUAAUUCUAUCACUUGCAAAAUCGUUGUGGAAGGUCAAGAGGAGAAAACUGAAAAUGGGGCAGCAUGCAUCUCAUUUUAUUUUUUUAUGCAAUAGAGCCCUAUAUAUAAAAUAAAUAAUGUAUCUAUAACCUUCUCUAAUUAAUUUACUUAGUAAUUGACGCAAUUUGGCCGAACUGUUUCUAAACACACUAAGCUUCAGUUCUAUAUAUACCACGUACCACAUGUAUGAAUUCAUCAAGUGUCUGAUAAUACUAAACCUACUUCGACAAAAUGGAGAAAAUUGAGGUCAGUAUAAUUUCCAAACACACCAUCAAACCAUCAGCUUCCACUCCACGACUUCAGCCUUACAAGCUUACCCUCCUGGACCAGCUCACUCCUGCAAUGUAUGUCCCCAUGGUAUUCUUCUACCCCAUUACUGAUCCUGUCUUCAAUCUUCCUCAAACCCUAGCUGACUUAAGACAAGCCCUUUCCGAGACUCUCACUUUGUACUAUCCACUCUCUGGAAGGGUAAAAAACAACCUAUACAUCGAUGAUUUUGAAGAGGGUGUCCCAUACCUUGAGGCUCGAGUGAAUUGUGACAUAACUGAUUUCCUAAUGCUUCGGAAAAUCGAGUGCCUAAAUGAGUUUGUUCCAAUAAAAACAUUUAGUAUGGAAGCAAUAUCUGAUGAGCGUUACCCUUUGCUUGGAGUUCAAGUCAACAUUUUCGACUCUGGAAUAGCAAUCGGUGUCUCCGGCUCUCACAAGCUCAUUGAUGGAAGAACGGCAGACUGUUUUCUCAAGUCCUGGGGUGCUGUUUUUCGAGGGUGUCGUGAAGAUAUCAUACAUCCUUGUCUCUCUGAAGCAGCAUUGCUUUUCCCACCGAGAGAUGACCUGCCUGAAAAGUAUAUAGCUUUGAUGGAAGGGUUACGGUUUGCCGGAAAAAAAGUUUCUACGAGGAGAUUCGUAUUUGAUGCGAAAACCAUAUCUGCAAUUCAAGAUGAAGCGAAGAGCGAGUCCGUGCCCAAGCCAUCACGAGUUCAGGCCGUCACUGGUUUUCUCUGGAAACAUCUAAUCGUUGCUUCUCGGGCACUAACAUCAGGUAAAAUUAGUUUAUCAACAAGCCAAAUAAUAAAGCCUAAUGUAUUUGGGGUACUUAUUUAUAUAUUUUUAUUACGUAUAGCUAGUGUACUGUGUACAUAGCUCAAAGAAUGAGAAAAUAUAUGAACUUGCAGGUACUACUUCAACAAAACUUUCUAUAGCAGCCCAGGCAGUGAACAUAAGAUCACGGAUGAACAUGGAGACGGUGUUGGAUAAUGCCACUGGAAACUUGAUGUGGUGGGCACCGGCCAUACUAGAGCUAAGUCAUACAACACCAGAGAUUAGUGAUCUUAAGCUGUGUGACUUGGUUAACUUGCUCAAUGGAUCUGUCAAACAAUGUAACGAUGAUUACUUUGAGACUUUCAAGGGUAAAGAGGGAUAUGAAAGCAUGUGUGAGUAUCUAGAUUUUCAGAGGAUUAUGAGUUCUAUAGAACCAACACCAGAGAUUUAUACAUUCUCGAGCUGGACCAGUUUUUUCAACCAACUUGAUUUUGGAUGGGGGAGGUCAUCUUGGAUUGGAGUUACAGGAAAAAUUGAAUCUGCAUAUUGCAAUUCCACAGUGUUGGUUCCAACACAAUGCGAUACUGGAAUUGAAGCGUGGGUAAGUCUAGAAGAAGAGAAAAUGGCUACGCUAAAACAAGAUCCCCAGUUUCUAGCGGCAGCAUCUCCAAACCCCCCAGUUUCAAGGUGUUGAUUAAAAAAGAUUAUGUGGCUCGUGCAAUGUUUCUAUUUUGCAGUGAAUAAGGUUUAAAUUAGUUCACCCGUCGAUCAAUAAGAUGCAAGUAUGAUAGAUAUGUUAUUCGAAUGUGUUUCGAUAUGGUUGUAACCAAUUAAUAUAGCUCUUGUUUGUAACAAUGCUCUAUUAAGCUUCUAUCUAUAAAGUUAUUUCUCUAUUAAAAAAAAAACUAUGGAAGUGUUACCAAGCUUUGUUCUGUUUCAAAGGUAAGAUGCAUAUACUACCCGAAAAUAAUGUUCACCUAUCAUAAUUCUUCCACAUGAAAACCCGGUAAGAAUCACAUAAAAUAUUUCUAAUACUUUAGAAUCUAAUUUGGGUUUGUGACAACAUAAUUGAAGAGGUACAUAUUCUGAUACAUUCGUUAUUUAACGACAAGCAUGUACAUAAUACCUAACCUAGGAGGAGGGUGUACGUAGUGUUCUCUCUCCUUAAGAAGGCCUGCCUUUCGCGAAGGCCUCUUUCAAAGGACUGAUAUAAUAUAAUCUUCUUCUUUUUUUAAUCAAAAGAAACGAAAAUGGCUUCAUUGUUCAUAAUUUGGAAUAUAUGGUGGAUUGUACGGUGUUGUUUUGAGGGAGCUUCUCUCUCGGGUCAAGGGUUUCCAAUGGAUUUGUGCAAUGAGAUUUGAUUGGCAACAGUUAUUCGGGCAUCAACGCUCCAAUUUAGCACUCCUCAGUCCUCACUACCUCAUUGUUGUUGACGAUGGCGAUGACGACAUUAGCGAGCAUGGGUGAUGUGUGUGGCAUAUUUGUUUGUAUUGUUGCAUUAUUGCUUUCGGAUGUAAGGGCUUCGCCCUAUAGAUUAGCGAGCAAUUGGUCUCCUCUCAUUCUUUCUACCUUGAUCGAGUUGGAGAUCCAUGCACUUUAUUUGUAGUACUUUUUUUGGCCUCGCGUUUGCAAGCUUUGAAAUUCCCGUGAUUAAGGAAUUAUUCAUUUUUUACAAAAAAAAAGAAGAAGAUUUUUUCCUGAAAAAUAACACAACAACCAUCAUAAUUUCACUUUAUGUGGGAAAUUUAGCCAAAUCCGAAUCACAUCCACGUCGGCAACAGAGAGUGACUUGAAAGAAGUGCACCCAGAAAGCUAAAAAACCAUAAAAACUAGAAAACUUGAAUAAGGAAAAACUAAAGUAUGACAUUCCAAUCUAUUGUUUUAUGGUUUUUGAAGGAUUCAAAUUUGUCAACCACUUUUUACUUGACCACCUUAAUGACCACUAUCUAGAUUGGUGAUACGUGUCUUUUCAAAUUAUUUUACUUUAUUGUUUUAUUGUUGAUAAAAAAAAUAAACAUGUGUCACCAAUCUAAAUAGUGGUCAUUGAGAUGAUCAAGUAAAAGUGGUUGACAAAUUUGAAUCCAUUUCUUAUUGCGGUUUUGUUCUGCCAAAUCCAAAUCCCAUGACCCAAUCAUUUACACUCCCUCUCAAUCUCUGCAAAACUGACUGCUUCCCUUGAAAACGUGCGCAAUAAGGUACCUAGCUCUCUGCCCUUUUCCUUGUAAUGCAUUCAAGUCCCUGUAAAUUUUGUGGUUUUUGGUAAUGAUUUUAUGCUUGUGGAUCUCAAAUGGGUUUGGGUUUGUUUUGUUUUGGGAUUUUUAUAAAUGAAUGCAUUGGAAAUGUUAAAGCUUAUGCGUUUGUUCCAUGAUUCAGUGUUCUGCAAUUUGUGCCUUCUCUUCCGGAUCUGAUGUACGUGAUGUUCUAGCUAGUUGUCUUUUGGAUUGAAAAGAUAUUAUCUUUUGAUUGUUUUUGAUAGAACAUCAACAUCAAUCAUCAAUGAGAUGAAUCUGAAGUAGGUUAUUAGUUUGGAGAUAUGUUAAUGGUUAAUGAAUCAAGCUGAAGUUGUUCUGGUUAUUGGAGCAAUAGGUUCCAUACUGAAGCAUCUAAUUUUGAAUUUGCAAAGAGUGGUUGACGAGUUAUCCUUGGGAUUGGCGGGUGACAUUGAAAAAGUCUUGGUUUUGUGUAUAAGAGUUGAAAUGUGAUUUCUUUACUGUUACCAUGAUGUGGGUUCUACUAAAAGACUCGUUCUUGAAUCUGGGGUCAUGUCCUGUGAUGACUCAAUUCUUGCAAAACACAACUGAGAUGUGUCAAAAUGGGUUCGGGAGCGUCUUUAUAUAUCGAAGUAUCAUGAGUUUCGAUACUAAGUGAGGGUGCUGGAUAGAAUUGAGUUUGGAGGUUCAAUGCUUCAAAAACAAAGAAGCUAGAGGGAACGUAAUUCUUGAUGAUUCAAGACGGAUCAAUGACCUUGUAAUUAAGUUGCUUAUGUGCAAUUGUUGAGCUUAUGGUGUUUCCAGUUUGGAUACGGAUAGCUAUUUCUGUUUUCAGUAUAACCACCAUGUGUUGCAUCCUCUUACUCUUCAUCUUCAUUUACCUAUCUUUGAUCUGAUGUUCCAUUGGCAGAGCUCCCUUAUGCUAAACUGUAAAACCUGCAUUCCAGGUGGUCAUUCUGUUAGAACUUUGGAAGGUCUCGGAAAGGAAACACUCGUCGACAAAUUUUGGGAGCAGUUGCAUAAAAGGAAUGGUCUCCCAACUCGGAGAUAAUGGAGACGCGUACUGGAAAUUCCCGUCCCAAUAAAAAGCAAUCGUCGGAGAAGUCUAAAUCUGCCACUGAAGAGAAAAGGCCUGCAGAAAAGAAGCAAACACUUCUGUGUUUGUCAACUAUGGUAAGUUCAUUAGAUAGUAAGUACUGAGUUUUCUAACAUCGGUGUAACACCAUGCAACUAACUCAGUACUGUAGAAUAGACAUCUAUGUUAGUCUCUUUAGAUAAUAUGCACACUUUAACUUUUCAAAUGACGUCCUGCAUUAGUUAGUCAACUGUUCAAAAUCUCGUAGGUUACAAUUUUCCCAUCUCCAAAACCAAGUGUCCAUAAUCUUUUUCCCUCUUUGUUCACUAAACUAGUAAACUCCUCGUUUAGAUUAAUGUUCUAAAUCUUUUAGUUUUUGUUCCAUCUUGACAUAACUUGUGGCUCAUUACCUACGUUGCAUGGAAUCGGAAGCGGAAACGUGGAAGCGAAGCGUUUGGAAGCGCGGAAGCGAUUUUUUUGAAAAUAAUUUGGAAGCGAAAGCGUUUUAGAAAUGUGAGAAUCAAAAUAAUAUAUACAAAUAACAAAUAUAUAUCACCUAAUUUUAAUUUCAUUCAUUUAUUUUAAUCGUUAAUUUUAAUAAGUUGUACAAAUUAGUUUGAUUGUUUAGCAGAUAACAACUCAUUCUUAAAAAAAAAAGAUAUCACUAAACCUUAUAAAAAUAAACUUCUUCACUAAAAAAAAGUCCACCAUGAAAUAUUGAAAGCACACGUCUCUCUAAUCUCUACACCUUUUAAUCUUCUUUCUUCACCUCUCUAUGCUCUCUCACCCUCCAGGUUGCCGUCAUCUUCUUUAACUUCAUUCUCUCUCACUCCUCUCCCUCCCUCCAGUUUCAAAUCCUUUCUUAACAGGUCCUCAAGCAGAAGAUCUGAUUGAUUAUAGAUUUCGAAAGAGAUAGAGAGAAGAUUGAUGUGCCGCUGAAUCAGUUCUCGUGCAGUGGACCAUCGCGCUUCCAAAUCAAAAUCGUGAGCUUCCAUAUUGGAAGCAUGCGCUUCCGUCGUGCUUCCAAAACCCUCUUUUCCCGGAAUCACGAUUCCGGGCGCUUCCGAGCGCUUCCACGGCGUUUCCGCUUCGCUUCCGCUUCGGAAGCGGGCGAGUGGCCCGGCGCUUCCGUGCUUCCUAGCUCAUUACUGCCCUGUAAACCAACUACGGCCGAGUUGUACCAAAAGGAAAUUCGGCCUCUCAUCAAUGAGUAAAGGUUUUUUUUUUUUUUUUCUUCCUUUUGUGGGGGAAGAAGAAGUAUGCAAUAAUUUUGGAAGUAACAUAUCCCCUAUCACCAUUCCUUGCAACAAGCAAUUACUUCUGGCAUUUUGUGGUUGAUGUUGAUCAUUUUGUAACUUUUGUUCUUUCAUGAUAAUAAAGCUAAUUUCUCAUGUAGCUGCAAUUGCUUGGCAUGAGAGUAGAAGAAAGUGGAUAGGGGAUCAGCGGCUGCAAAGAAUGGCCAAGGAUCCAAUUAUAAGGUAUUUUUUCCUCACAAAGGUUCCUGGAUAGAAUGGGGUUAGCAAGUCAUGGUUAAAGAGUUGCACCUUAAAGUUUAAUAACAAAAGAAAAGUUGGAGAGCAUAACUGCCAUAACUUAUAUUCUUUGUAGGUACAAAUGAACUCAUUAACACUGGUGUGUCAGUUUUUAGGAAAUUACACUUAUAUUUGAGUAUCUGUCACUCUGUCCACUACUUGCACCCUGACUUGCUGAUCUGUAAAUCCUAGAUUUUUCAAAAUUGCUCCUUUAGUCCUUUUGUUUGGUGUGUGUCCAUAUUAGUAGCUUUGUCCAUUUAUGCUGUUAAAUUGUAGCUGCUAUAUGAAUGUCAGGAAGUUAAAUGUGAAAACUAUAUGCUGCAUAUUAUAGCACCAUUGUAAUGAUUGAUGAUAUUAGUGUCUUUGUCCAAUUAUUUUCUGUUCAAUUAUUGCUACUUCUUGAAGAUAAUGUGGAAAGUUUAUGUUUCAGCUGGUCAACAGCCUAUGAGGAUCUACUCUCAACCAAUGAGUGUUUUUCUGAGCCGAUCCCCUUAACUGUAAGUCGAUCAUAUAAUAGCACAUACCUGUCCAAUAAAUAUCUUCUGAUAAGUCAUAUAUCUCUAUUACUUGUGUUUAUUUGACAUUGGAAAUAUUUUCUAAAGUUUGAUGUUUUUAUAAAAUUGGUUUUAAGCAUGUUUUCAUACUGGAGCUCCACUUUAUGUUUUCAAAAGUCAUGGGUAGUUUUCUUGAGCAGCGAGGACGAAAACUCAUCCCUACAACAGUUUGUGGAUGCAUGUAUUGUGCACUGGGACAAGAUAAUGGCGAGGAGUUGGGUGUGCAUGUUUGUGAUCGGUAAUUUAUUUUCUAUGCUUACAUGUUUAUUUUUAGACUCAAGUUACAUGUUUAAAUUGUAUUCUGUUGGCCUUGUUAUAAUCUCAUCCGUGAUUCUAUUAAUGAAGCUUGUUAAUUACUGGCCAUUCCUUAUAUCAAGUUUUAUACGAACAUAAGAGUCUAAUCCUGAUAUGAUUUUGUCUUGUGAGACUCUCAUUGCAAUUUGUAUUCUUUUGAGUUCAUUAUUUCUUAACGUUUAUUGUGUUAGGUUUUAGACGAAUGACUUUACCUUAAGCAAAUUAAAUAUUUUUCUUUUACAUACACCUCAAAUAGUUUUACGCUUCCGUGGUGUUUGCUUAAAUGAUUUCUUAAAUAAACUGUCUUGCGUUUCUCUUGGUUUUUAUUUUAGAGACAUGCGGCACUGUGACGUGUCUAAACUAAGGAGGCGUAGUUUGGGGCGUUACAGAUUUAAUCUUUACACACUAUGAGAAUAUCAAAAUAUCACGAUAUUUGUGCAAAACUCACGAAAUCUUGUUAUUAAAUCAGCCGAAGUCAUCAUAUAUAGUCAUUAACUCGGGCCAAACUUAUAAAAUUAACACUAAAGUCUUGGCGCAGCUAACAUGAUUUGAACCCAGGUUGCCACAUGUUUGUAACAUCCUGAAAUUUCAAAUUUUUAUUUUUAAAAGGAAAGUUAUUUUUAUUUCGAUUUCUAUUAUUCUUUUAAAUUCUUUAUAGUUUUUGAAAAUUAUUCAAAUUUUGUUUUUGGAGCCCAUCGGAUUAAACUAGAGGCCGUGAUGAAUUUGUGGGAUUUUUCGGAACACCGUUUGGAUAUCGGAUAUAUUUUUAAUGAUUUUUAGAAGUUGGUAUUAUCUAAAAAUUUAAUUAAAAAUAGAAAAUCAAGGUCGGUCAAAUUUGGUCCGUCCAGAUUAUAUGGGUAUGGAUCAACUUGGACUUCAUUAUACCCAGUCCCAGACCGACUCCGUCUCCAGCCUCUAUCAGCGACGGAGACCUCCGGUCACUCCUCCGUUGUCCGGCCGUCUCCCGCCGCAAAACGACUGUCUACAGCUCUGUCUCGACGUCCCCGACCUCCCUGGGAUUCCAGCUUGAUGAGUGGAGCUCCGGAAAAGGAGGAGAGAAGGCGACUGUGUUUCCGAUCGGGUUUCCGAUUCCGGUGACGGCGGCGAGCGUGAAUGGUACUGGAAGCAUCCUCUCGUCCUCGUGGUCUUCCCUAUGUCCUCAGUUUCUUCAGAAGAGGUCGGGAGAGAGAGAUUCGAAGUGGAGAAGGAGAGGCUGGGUUCGCCGGCGAGUUUCCGAUUCCGGCCAAGUCGAGGUUUCUCACUGGUAUGAAUAGCUUCAUGUCGGUCUCGGGAACCUUUCCAUGUUGGUGGUUUUCGAAGAGAAGCUCGGAGGAGGGAGAAUCGAAGAGGAGAAGUUUCUGAAUUUUCCGGCGAGGGUUCGACGGAUUCCGGUGAAGCUUGAUGUCGACUCAGGUAUUAAAGUUGGUCUAUUCGAUGAGCUUUACAUGUUUCUAUAAUUGAAAUUGAGAUUGGUUGGGUGUUGGAGAAGUGGGAUUUUGGACAGGUUGUCGACCACCGUGUACGGCGGCGGCGGCGGUUGUUCUUGUAGUUUCUGGCUUUUGUUAAUACAUUGAUUGUGGAGGAGUGUUUUGAGAUGUAUUAGAAUUGCAGGAACAUGAGAAUUGUAUGAAGUUGGGUUUUGAGCAGUGUGGUGUGUGGCCACUGUUCACGGCGGCUAUGGUGGUGUUUUGAAAUCAGAAGACUUGUGUGAGGGAGAGGUUGAAGAUGUGUAUUAUGUUUGGUAUGAGUGUUCAUUCAAUUGGCUUUGGUAUUUGAGAGCAGGGUGCUACGAAUAUCUUGGUUUUGUGAUCAAAGUUGAAGUAAAGCAUAUAUGUUUGUAUGGUUGUGAGAUAUGGUGGUAACUGCAGCAAUGGAUAGUUGAUCAAGGUUCACAUGAUCUUGGAACAAAUGUCCAGUCGAUAACUUUAAGAUGUAAUUGGUAUUGCUAUGCUUGAACAAUUGUGUUUCGGUGGAUUGAAGAUUUGCCGGAAGGUGUGUAGUAAGAUGGGUGUCCAAAGUAAUUGAUGGAGACUGGUGUGUUCUCUUUUGAAUUAUUGUUAGAGAAAGAUGAUUAGAGGAGUUGGGUGUAAUGAACGUUAAGUUGGCUUUGCUGGGUUGUUGUGGAGUCUUAAGAGCAGUAUGGGUACGGGAACAGAAGAAUUGGAUUUUCAUUACUUUCAUAUGGAUUUGAUGUGUUGCUGGGGAGUAGGAAACAGUAAAGGAUUUAGGUUUGGUCAUGUCUGGGUUCGUUGAUAAGUUGUUAUGCCUACAAUUAAGACAUGAGAAGAUUGAUCAAGUUUGAGAUAGGCAAAUAUAAAGGAUUUAGUAGAAAAGAGGAAUUGGGUGUAGAGAGUAAAUUCGGUGCUUAGCUUGGUGCUUGGAGCAUGGUUGGGAUACGACUAAUUAUGGGUGGCGUGUGAUUUGGUAAUUGUCGGAAAAGGUGAGCGGAAUUGGAAAUAAAGAUUUUGAUCGUUUCUAAUUAAAGUGUUUGCCGACUUUAUUGGAACAAGGAUUUGAUGUGAGGGAGCAUGUUGCAAUCCGAGGAGCAGAAUGAUAAGGAUUUCAAAAUGCGUGCCGCGGUGUUAUUAAUUUUAGUAAGCGUCGGAGUCAAGGCUUGGAUUCCAGGUAGGGUCUCUCUCAGGGAACUUUUCUUUAAAUUGAUAAUUAGGUUAUUGUUGAAAUCGGUGCAUUGUGUGGCAUUGGUUGAUAUAACUCUUGGUUGUUAUCGAUUUUGUUAAAAGCAUGUGAUAUCGUUGAUUUAUAUGAAAUUAAUGUUAUUGCUUUCCGUAAAAGCAUGAGUUGAAUGUUAUGAUAUGAGUAUUGAUAUUCAAUUGACAUGCAUAAUGCAUUGUGAGGAAUUGUGAGAAGUGAGAUUGGUGAUUCUGGAGAUGAGAAAGAGAUUGAUAGAAUAGAUACAUUUUGUGUAGUUGAGUUUCCUCAUGGGUUGUCCAAGAUCCAGGGUAGUCCACACGUGCAUAAGUUCAGGGAAUGUAUGCCAUUUCGAUGGCGGACAUCGACAAAACAAUUUUAUCGGGUUUCGGGUUUGGAGACCAUGAGUAUAACAAGAUGAUUAACAAUAGAGGUACAAGCCAUAAGAUAUUACUGAUUAUUAGAUCAUAUAUUUGAGACAUUUGUGUCACCCCCGGUUGGUAAAAUACACGGUAUGGGACGUGUAGGCUCACAUAUCUUUGAUGUAUGGACUGAUAGCCAGUAAUUGAGGAAGACAUUCAUUAGCAUACAUGUAUCAAAUUGUCGUUAUUUAUUUAAAGUAUUAUUUGAUGUUUGAUAACUUGUUUGUGCGAUGUAGUUAAUUAUAACUUAAAAAGGUUUGGCUCUUUGGCCCUACUAAGCGUAAGCUCACCCCUAUAAACUUUUGUUCAGGUACGUUUGAGGACACGUUUUUCUAGAAGCGUAACUGUGAAGUUUAGCUGACGUGUACGAGAGUAGAAGAGUUACAGAAGAUUAGAAGUCAGAUAGAUCGUAAGGGCUUAUCUUUUUGUCUUUGUAAUUGUUUUUUGUUAUUGUAAACGUUUUAUUUUCUUUUAUUUCUGGAAAAGUAUUUGAAAUUGUUUUAUUUUCUUUUACUUUUCCCGCUCAUGUCUCGGGUACGGCGUCAGGUGCUUGGAAACCACCGACACCGGGUCCGGGGUUUGAUGUAUGGACUAGCCAGUAAUUGAGGAAGACAUUCAUUAGCAUACAUGUAUCAAAUUGUCGUUAUUUAUUUAAAGUAUUAUUUGAUGUUUGAUCACUUGUUUGUGCGAUGUAGUUAAGUAUAACCUAAAAAGGUUUGGCUCUACUGAGUGUAAGCUCAUCCCUAUAGAUUUUUGUUUAGGUACGUUUGAGGAUACGUAUUUCUAGAAGCGUAACUGUGAAGUUUAGCUGACGUGUACGAGAGUAAAAGAGUUACGGAAGAUUAGAAGUCAGAUAGAUUGUAAGGGCUCAUCUUUUUGUCUUUGUAAUUGUUUUUUGUUAUUGUAAACGUUUUAUUUUCUUUUAUUUCUGGAAAAGUAUUUGAAAUUGUUUUAUUUUCUUUUAUUUUUUCCGCUCACGUCUUGGGUACGGCAUCAGGUGCUUGGAAAUCACCGACACCGGAUCCGGGGUGUGACAAUGGUAUAUCUCACAUUCUCAACCAAUCCUCCUAAGGUGAUACUUGAUUACUACAUUGAACAUUUUAUUAUAAACUCUACAUAUAUUUUCAUACUUUUAAAAUUUCUUUUCGAAAUUUUAUUAAUAUUGAUAUUUUCUAAUAUUUUUAUCAAAAUAUCUAUUUUUCAGAUAGUCAAAAUUUUCUUGAAACGUGAUAUUUUUGUAAUAUAUCGAAAUUUCAAAUUUUUAUUUUUAAAAGAAAAAUUAUUUCCGAGCUAUUUUUAUUUCGAUUUCUAUUAUUUCUUUCAAUUCUUUGUAGCUUUCGAAAAUUAUUUCAAUUUUUAGUUUGUCAAAAUUUAUCUUUUGAGUCCAUAGGAUUAACGGAAGCGUUUUCGGACAUCGGAGCUAUUUUUAAUAAUUUUUAGAAGUUAAUAUCGUCUAAAAAAAAAAUAUUUUUAAACCCGCUUGAUCUGGACCGUUGGAUCAUUUAAACCGCAAGAUCUGGGCUGGGGGAGACUGGAUCAGAUCAGUUCAGACCCAGACUGGGUCAGCCUCGAUCCAAAUAGCAGCGACGGGUGACCGGACUGCCGCUUUGUCCUCCAGCGACGGCGUGGGGAAAUCAUGGCAGCUUCGGCUUCGUCUCGGUCGCCUGAUCCUAUCUGUGGUCUCGAUUUCGUCGAUGGAGCUUCGAUGAGAGAGAAUCGAAGAAGGGUAGCUUUUUCUGGGUUUGUCGACGAGUUUACUAUUUCAGCCACGGCGGCGAGCAUGAUCGGUCUUGGUAGCUUCACCUCGACCUGUUGAACAUUUCUUUGAAGAGAAGGUCGGAGGAGGGAGAAUCGAAGAGAAGAAGUUUUUAGGUUUUAGGCAGUGUUCUUGGUGUUUUCCGGCGACCUCGGACUUCAAUUCAGGUAUCAAAGUUGGUCGACUCGUCAAGCCCUACAUCUCUAUAUAAUUGGUUUUCAUUUUUGAUUAAGUUUUGAAGAAUCGAAGUUUUGGGGUUUUACUGUGCAAUUUGAGUUUUCCUGUUUGUGUGGUGAUUUUGGUUGCCUUGGGGCGUUCUUCGAUUGGAAUUGACUUUAUGAAGUUGAUUUGAUGAUCUUAAGCCCUUGAAUUACAUAAUUGGAAAAGUUGGGUUUUGGGGCAGUGUUGUUCGGCGAUGGAAGUGGUGGUUGAUGGUUCUGGGUUUGGUUUAUGUUUUAGAUGAAAUUACAAGAGCAUUAGAACUUAAUUAUGUUGUUGUGUCGCCUGGAUUCCAUAAACGGAGAAGUUGAGUGUAAGAAAAUUAGAGUUAUGCAAUUUGGAAUUGAGCUAAGAUUGGAGUAGAUGAUAGUAUCGGGUUUUCUGCUGAUUUUGGUUUAUUGUUUGUGGUGGUGACUGCAGUAUUCUUGUUCCAUUUCCAAUCAUAUGAAAGUGCAGGAACAUGAAUUUGGAUGCUUGAUUGGUAAAAGAUGAGUUUUGGGUGGUAGGAAAUGGAGCUGUGUUAUUGGAAUAGGGAGGGGAAGAUGGUUGUGUAUAGUACUAAUACUGAACUUGGCGGAGUUGAAGGAUGCAACUAAGAACUGUUGAUUUGCGAUAUGGAACUAGGAGCUUGAUUUCAAAUGGAGAAAGUGAGUAUUGGCAAGUGCAGGAGUAGGACAACUUGAGAAGUAUAAAUUGGCUAAAGAGCUUAUGGGUGUCCUUAUCAAUUUCAAAGACUGGAUUGCAUCGACUUGAAAUCAUCAGAGUGAAUAAAUGCGGAUUAAGGAACUCAUCUGGGUGUCUUAGUAGAUUUAUGAAUUCGGUCCGGUUGACUUAAAGUGACUUAAAUUUGGCUUAAAGUGAGUUUUGCGGAUUAAGGAUUCAGGGUGUCCUUAGUAAUUUUAAGAACAUGAUCAAUUUUGGAAAUUGAUUUAGUUUAUUUGAGGUUCGACGGCUUUCUCGGUAAGGAAUUGUGACGAGGAUCGAGUGACUAUCGACUUUUUCAGAAGCAGAAGGAUAAAGAUUUCAGAAUGCGUGUCGCUGAGUUAUUAGUUUUAAUUAGCGUCAGAACUAGCGCUCGGAUUUCAGGUAUGGUCUUUCUUGGGGAACCUUUUUUUAAAUUGAUAAUUAGAUUGUUAUUGAAAUUGGUGAAUUGUUUGUCAUUGAGUGAUUAACUCUUGGAUGUUACUGCUUUCUAUAAAAGCAUGUGUAAUCGUUGAGUUAUAUGAUUGUUAUUAUCGCUUUUCUUAAAAAGUAUGUGUUGGAUGAUAUAAUAUGAGUAUUGUUAUUCGUUGCAUACAUAAUGCAUUUUGAAGAAUUAUGAGAUUAGUGAGAUUGGUGAUUAUGGAGAGGUGAGAACGAGAUCAAAAUAUACAUUUUGUACAGUUGAGUUUCCUUAUGGGUUGUCCAUAAAUCUAUGUCAUCCCACUUGCGCAAAUGAGUGGGCAAAGUAUACUCCUUCGAUGGCGGACAUCAAUAAAACGAUCUUUCGGGUUUCGGUUUUGGAGAGUAUGAGUAUAACAAGAUGACUAACAAAAGAGGUACAGGUGAUGAGAUAUUACUGAUUGUUAGAUCAUAUAUUCGAGACAUCUGAGUCACCCAUGGUUGGUAAAAUACACUGUAUGAGACGUGUAACUGAGGAAGACAUUCAUUAGCAUAUAUGCAUCUAAUUAUCGUUAUAUAUUUAAAGUAUUGUUUGAUACUUGAUAACUUGAUUGUGUGACGACAUAGUUAAAUGUAACUAAAGAGGUUUGGCCCUACUAAGCGUGAGCUCAUCCCUAUAUACUCUUAUUCAGGUUCAUACAAGGACACAUAUUUGUAGAAGACUAACUGUGACGUUUAGUUGACGUGAACGAGAGUCGAGAAGGACUACCGAAGUUUCUAGUGAGCUAAACAACAAGACUAGUUUUACCUUUAUAGUGAGCUAGACUGCAAGACUUGUUUUGUCUUUAUAAUCGGUUUUGUUUUUUGUAAUCGUUUUAUUUUCGACUAUUUCGAGAAAAAUAUUUAAAAUUAUUUUAUUUUCUUUUAUUUUUCCCGCUCACGCCUCGGAUUCGGUGUUAAGUGUUUGGAAACCACCGACACCGGGUCAGGGGUGUGACAAUUUUAGUCCUUGGUUUGAUGCCUAAGCUACUUCGCUCCUCCAAACUGGGCCGGUGUUGGAUCAAACAAACAGAAACUUGAAAGAAGGAGUCCGAUACAAGUCAUACAACUACGUUGGUCGGAGCGGAUUUUACGCAUCAAGGUGCCCUUGCACCAUUAAUCUGUAAGUUUUUAAAUCUUCGUAUGCAAAGAUUUAAUGAAGACUAGAGACCUUAAAUUCUUUUCUUUCAUUUUUAUUUUUGACCUGAUCAAAUUAAACGCCAAUAAUUAGAGUACCUCUUAUUCAAUCUCAUGUCCUCAUCUCUUGUGUUGAAAACACUUUUGAUUAUUUUUUUGAGUUUUAAUUUUGUUAAUGGUAUUAAAAUACAUGCAUGAUAAUGCGACAUAGAUGAUCGGAUCAAAACAUUGCGUAUUAAUUGCUCGAUUCACUUGUAGAAGAAUUUUCGAGCUUCGGGCCAAUAUUCCAUUUUUCUUUUUAAUAAAAAAUUCUAGCAGCUAGACAGCUAGUUAACCAAUUGUGAAGCUACACAACUGGGACUUGCAGCGGAAAACAACUACCACGCGUUGCAUGGAGAGGUUAGGUCCUGCAUGCAACUCCGCCGCCCGUAAAUCUCCUACUGACAGCUCUACCCCUCGAUUUGCAGAUACUGAUGUAAAACCCGAGGACAAAACGGUAAUCGUUGAUACUCCGAGCCAGACAUAAAACUAUCCAAGAACAAAGAGGAGACACCACAGGAAAAAUGACCGGACCGCCUCUACCUCGACCCUUUCUAACGUGCUUGGUUGGUGUAGCAGUCUUAACCUGCGCACUAACCUUCUGUGUUGCCCUAGAUGUCACCCCCCAAGACCCAAUCAUCCACCAAGUCACAGACCAUGAUACUAACAAGCUCCUUGGAACCGAGAAAGAGUUCAAGAGUUUCAUGGAGAAGUAUGAGAAGAAGUACCCUACUAGGAAGGAGUACAUGCACCGGCUAGUUGUUUUUUCCAAGAACAUGAUCAGAUCCGCCGAGCACCAAGCUCUGGAUCCGACGGCGGUUCACGGCGUCACGCCGUUCUCGGAUCUGGAGGAGGAGGAGUUCGAGAGGAUGUACACCAUUCCUCGAAAAGUUAAAGUAAUCUUUUUUAGAAAUCGAAUGGAUUCGGUCUUAUACAUACGCAAGGAAGGUAAUAAAAAAAAAGAAAGAUGAGUUCUUUUAUCACUUAGGAGCUGUGCGAGAUAAAAGUCUCAUGCACGGUUUUGAAUGAGAGAAAGAAGUGAGGAAUCCUUUUUUCGACACUGACUCUCCCACUCCAGUUGUUGCUUUUUUUUUCUUUUUUUUCUGUUACUUCAAAAGUCGUUGCUUCAGUUUCAGCCACUCGAAUUUUCGAUGUUCUUUUUUAUUUCUCAUCAAACGAAUGGCAUUUUCUUCCUAUUACUCAAACAAGCAUGAAACGUAUGCUUGCGUAUUCGUCCAUAGGUCAAAUUGGAUAUGUAAUUAUUGGAAUAAUUGUUGGAGACUCAAAUGGUGGAUAUGUAAGCAUGAUAACUUAUAUGUUGUUCUAUAUCUCUAUGAAUCUAGGAACUUUUGUUUGCAUUAUAUCAUUUGGUUAGAGGUGCGCCCGGCUUAACCAACGGCGGAGGCGGUACGGGGAGCACGGUUGAGCUUCUGGAUGUUAGCGGGUUGCCUGAGAGUUUUGAUUGGAGAGAGAAAAAGGAGCUGUUACUGAGGUCAAGAUGCAGGUAGUUUCUAAUUUUCGUUUUAUUUCUGAUUUUUUAGGUUGGACACACAAUAUAUGUGAUUAACAGUUUCGGCCGUACUUAAAUCCUAGCUUUUUGCAAAUCAAGUUAUGGCACAUACGAUAUAGAAGUCUCGUAGCUGGUUGUAAAUUACUAAAUUGUGUAAUCUGAAGUCGAUCAGCUGAUCAGGUGCUGCUGGUUCUUUUGUUUAAUUGAUUGUAUAACUAGCUUGACUUUGAGAGUUUGAAGUUUUGUACAGAAAGAUUUGUCUAAUAGAGCUAGGGUGUUUGUGGAACAUGGAAUUAUUCUUCAGGCAAGGAGUUGUAUUGUGAUACUUAAAGCCUCUAAAUCUCUUGUUAUGGAUGCAGGGUGGCUGUGGGUCGUGCUGGACCUUUAGCACAACGGGAGCUAUUGAAGGAGCCAAUUUCAUUGCCACUGGGAAGCUUGUUAGUCUCAGUGAACAGCAGCUUGUUGACUGUGAUCACCAGGUAAUUAAGCCUAGCCUCUCUGGAAUAUAUUGAAGUACUCAUUUAACUUUAGGGCGAUAAAAAUUUAAUUGAUUGAGCAUAUAUAUAAUAUUUGGCAUGCCUACUUAAUUAGUUUCGUUUAAUGUUUGUGGCAACUAUAAUCAAGUGUGAUGCAAAAGAGAAAGAUGCAUGUGAUCGUGGUUGUGGUGGCGGACUUAUGACAAAUGCCUACAAGUAUCUAAUGGAAGCAGGAGGGUUGCAAGACGAGGUUUCAUACCCUUAUACGGGGAAAAAGGGCGAAUGCAAAUUUAAUCCUGAAAAAGUAGCCGUGAGAGUAACCAAUUUCACCACUAUUCCCCUUGAUGAGAAUCAGAUUGCAGCGAACUUGGUCCACAAUGGUCCUCUUGCCAGUGAGUACUAAACCUGAUAAUAUGCUUAAAAAUAGCUAGGCUUUUUAUGUAUCUAUGUGUGCGUACAUAGAACUGCCUUAAGUGUCUUAUUUUCUGAAUAUGAUGUGCACUGUUUAGCAUAUUUAGAUCUGAGUGUAGAUACACCCCACUGAUACAGAAUCUUAAUUGAUGUAUGUAUGCGCAGUUGGCUUGAAUGCUAUGUUCAUGCAAACCUACAUUGGCGGUGUGUCAUGCCCUCUUGUUUGUUUCAAGAAAUGGGUGAACCACGGUGGUUCACUUGUUGGAUAUGGUGAGAGUGGCUUCUCGAUUCUCAGGCUCAGCAACAAGCCGUAUUGGAUCAUCAAGAAUUCAUGGAGCGCAAAAUGGGGAGAACAUGGUUAUUACCGACUUUGCCGAGGCCAUGGCAUGUGUGGGAUGAAUACCAUGGUGUCUGCAGUUGUGACCAGUACGCGGGCAUCCUAGCUGCAUCUCCCGAGAUUAGCUAGUAUAUAAUUAUACACUAUAAUAUUAUAUGCACCUCUCCCUUGUUUUUUCUUAAUCCGAAUUUGAUGUUCCUAUAAUCAUAUUUCAACAAUAUUAUUGUUAAUAUGCCGAAGUGGAAAGUCUUGUUUACGUCAAAACCAAUUCGAACUAUAUUUUGUUAGCUUUAAAUGCUAGAUUGUCAGACUUCAAAUUUAAGUCGGAAAAAUUUUACAAUAUGUUAAUGCAUGUUAUGCAUCAAUUUUAUCCUAAAAUUGUAAAAUGAGUCUCUAAAGUAGUAAUAUUAGUCCUUGAAGUUGUAAUAUAUACGAGUAGUUGUAAAUUUUAAAGUUACAACAUUAGUUAUCAUGUGUCCUUAAAGUAAAUUUUACAGUUACAACAUUAGUCAUUGUGUCUUUAAAGUGAUAAAAUGCGUGCUUAAAGUGGUAAUUGAAUCCUCAAAGUGAUUGAAAAAGUUUUUAUAUCUUUGAGGAUUUGUAUUACAACUUUGAGGAUUUGUAUUACAACUUUGAGGACUCAGUUACCUCUUUAAGGACACAUAAGGAUUAAUAUUGUAACUAAUUUUUUUACAACUUUAAAGACUUAUAUUACAACUUUAAGGACUAGCUAAUAUUACUACCGUAAGACUCGAUCAUUUUAUAACUUAAGAGCAAAGUUGAUACAUCACAUGCAUUUUUUUUUUAUUGGUUAAUGAUCGAGGAUAGGCGAAUAAUCACCUAUCACUCUAUGUUAUUAAUAAAAGAAAAAAGAAACAAAGGAGGGGGAUCAAAACCAAAACAUCCUAAAACAAAUGACAGACUAGCUGAAACGAAAUUGAGGCAUACCUCUAACAUCGUUAUUAUAAGACAAUAAUAUGAAAGGUGGAGGCUCAUCCCACCAUAUCAAUUCAGAGCAUGACGUACCUUGAUUUGCCAGAGCAUCAGCUAUCUUAUUCCCUUCACGAAAAAUAUGAGUAGCCUUGAAAUUCAUUUUAGAGAUUCGGUAUAAGCAAUUCAACCAACGAACUCGAAGAGGCCAAGGAACAAGAGAAGGUCUGCGAAUAUAAUCAAGUACCAAAGAUGAGUCAACUUCCAACCAAAUAUGCUUCCAAUCACGAACCCAAGCAAGCUCAAUAGCUUUAAUAACAGCCAUUAUCUCCGUUGAAAUUGAACUAGGAAUUUCAAGAUUAGAGGCAAAAAGCACCUAGAAAGUGGCCCUUGUAAUCUCUAAAAAUAGCACCAUAACCACCCACUCCCUCUUCAUGCUUCCAAGAGCCAUCAGAAUUUAUCUUCACCCACCCAAGAGAAGGAGGAAUCCAAUUAACUUCAACCACUCUAGGAGUGGCACGAGGUCGACAUGGGGCUCCAAAACAUUUCAAAAUUCGUAGCUCCUGGACACUGUUAUGCAUAUGACCCGUUGUAAGAUGACUAGUGGCUCUUAUAUGACUUGAUAUUAGCUUGCAAACAACUUCAACUGAAAAGCGACAACCAUCAAAUCUGGUUUUAUUUCUCACAUGCCAAACAAACCACAAAAUGGAGGUAAAGCAAAUAAGCCAUAAUUCCAUUAAUUGAGGACUUCUUCCAUUCUGCAAACCCAACCCAUAAAGCUCCAAAAUAGAAGAAGGAAUCAUACCUAACUCAAAAAUAGAGCCAAAGUGACAGAAGAGACGCCAACGGCACCAACACCCAAAGCCAAAGGUAAAGUGUUCGUCAAAGGACUCCACAAUUCCAAGAAUGCUUUCCAUGUGCUCGUGCAAUAAUGGUAAGGAUAUCGAGAGACGCCAACGGCACCAAAUAUUCCAGCUUGAUUCAAUACGCCUUCAAAAUUGGCUAAUAUGAAUUCUGUCCACUCCAUUACGCCUAUCUCAAGUGUAGCACAACCCCGGAAACAAAGGCUCGAAGACCAAUCUUGUUUGGUGUUUAGCAUCCUGUGAAGUAUCGGGUAAAAAUUCUCUUCGAAAGUGAAAAGACCUCCAUCAUGUCUGUUAUCAACCUUCUCCAAAGUAUGCCCCUUAAAUACAUGGGAAAAGUUGUGGGUUGUUCUUAUCACUUGAUCCUCCAAAUCUUGGCGAAAUGUAAGAAAGCCUGAGUUCAUUUCAACUUCUGUCACCAAGGUAAUGAUGUCUUUAGGAGGGACAUCAACAUGAAUGGAGCUUAAAGGCUGUGAUCUCACGUACUCUAUGCCCUUUCCAACAACCUGCCUGUGUUUGUCCAAAGCUGCCUCGCGGGAAAUUCGACCAUAUGCAUCCAUUACCUGAGAUUAUAGCACGCAGAGAUGUUAAAAGCAAGCAAUAGCAAGUCAAGCUUUGCGCGAGAAAAGCAAGUUCCACGUACAAAGCUUGAGGGGGCACUGUUGAUACCAAAAAAAAAGGAUUACAGAAAAGGAAAAAAAUAAAUAAAAUAAAUAAAUGGAAGAGUAUUUAUUCAUGUCAUACUCUUCCGUUGGUUUUGAUUACACGCACAAAGCUUUUGAGUUCAAUUACAACUCUUGCAAGCAGGUGCUUGGAUAAGAACAAAUCAGUACGAGCACCAGAGUUUGAUUGUAACUCAAUUAUCCUAACCAAGCACUCUAUAUAAAGAGGCCAAUACCUUCAAAAAAAAAAAAAAAANAANNNNNNNNNNNNNNNNNNNNAACACCAACGGGAGGAGGCAGGCGGGCAACAAGGAGGAUCACAAAGGAGCGGUUCAUUCUUUACAAGGUUCGGAUGGAGAGUUCUCUUUCUCUUUGCGCAGCUCUCUUUAUGUUCUGUUGAUGGAGGCAUCACUGCCUUCAUAUUCCUCGCAGAUGGCCUCUGGUGUUCUUGGUUACUAUUGUUCCUGGUCACCCAAAUCCCUUGCGGAUCGAUCUGGUUAUUAUAGUUACUGUGUUCUGUUGGUUACUUGGUUACUACUGUGUUCUCUUGGUUACUUGGUUACUCAAAUCCCUUGUGGAUCGUUCCUGGUUACUCGUUACUUGGUUACACAAAUCCCUUGCGGAUCGUUCCUGGUUACUUGUUACCCUAAACAUUGGUUACUGGAUACUAUGGUUACUGGAGACUAAUGGCUACUAUGGCAAUGGUUCUAUGUUACAAUGGUUAUAUGACACUAUGGUUACUAUGAUUCUGGUUCUAUGGCUACUGUAGCACUAUGGUUACAAUAUGGUUCUGGUUCUUUGGGUACUUUGACACUGGUUACUAUAACAGAUCGGUUGCCCUUUGAUCCUACAAAACCAAACACAAAACCAAUACUCAAAAUUCCACCACAAAAGGCCAUUGUUGUCCCUGUUCCCUGUUAACCACCACAGCCAAAUACCUUUCCAAAUUCCAUGUUUCAAGCACCAACUCAAAUACUGUGCAAUGAAACUAAAAGAGACAAUAACAGAGGCUUACCCUCAAACUAUGACAAUCGAUCUAUUCCGAUACUACAACUACUACCUGUGUUUCAUACCUUCAUGCUGUAGCAGGAAUGGUGAUGAUAUUGCAAAAAGAGAACAGCAAGUUCCUGUCAAGUUAACCUCACAAAAACAUCCGAGCAAAGAGAGUCAUUGAUUCUUUGGCUCUGUCCCUUUAAAAAAAACAAAGGGGGCUCGGUGAGUUUUCUCAUGAUUCUUCUCCAAUAUCACAAGAUGACAAGAAUCAAGCUUGGCGGUGACCCUCCCAAACAGAGAAGGCUUACUCAAACAUAAAUAUGCAUUCACCACCAUGGAGUAAAACAAAAGAAGCAAACUUAAUUAAACAAGUUUUGUUUCUGGAAGUUCCAAGGCAGCGAGCCGAAUACACCCACAGUCAAAUAAAUUGGAGCUAAGAAGUUUAGAGUCUCAAAGCAAAAGACGUGUUCUUCCUCAAAUUAAAGCCUGCAAAUUGAAGCCUGCAGCAAAAUUAACCUACUCGAAGCUAAGCUCAUCCAUUCGACGCUAAGCUAAUCUACUCGAAGUUAAGGAAGCGAAGGAUAAUUAAUUUUGCCAUUGAAGAAUUGUAACAAAGCACCUAUCCAACACAAGGCAGUAACCAAAUUGAACGCUACCUGUGAAGAAACAAGCUUUUGACCAGUGGGAAAUCCUUCGAAAUUACUCUGAAGCAUAAUGGAGAUACUUUCGUCAUGAGGGUAUUUGAAUUGUAGGGAUGAAAGCAGGAACACAAUAGGGGUUAUCCUUACCCAAUUUCGCACAGUGAGAAAGAGCACAGCAAAUCUCAAGCCUCCCAGUGUUGAUAAAUUUCUUCUCGGCGACUUAGGAGCACUGCCAUCACCAAGUCGGUUGCUGCGCCAACCCCUCUCCAUUUGAUCAGUUUCGGCCUUCAAGUUCUUCUGGGUUACAAUAAACAAGGCAGCAGAAGAUCAAAAGAAAGAAAAGAAAUGAAGAAUGGGGAGAGGGAAAGCUAACGGGCCUCCACAUUGACGGAUGCUACUCACAAGCAAGGCCCAUGUCAAAUUUGGGCCCAUCUGAAAAGUUCAACGAGGCUCAAUAUAUGGGUGUUCAAAUCAAAAUACCCAAACUUCGGUUUCGUUUAAAAAUUCUUCGGAACCCGAAUGAAGUUGCGUUUGGUACAAAACCAAGAAAUACUCAAAUACCCAAAUUUUUGAACUACAAUGGUUUGAUCCCUUCACAGGGUAUGUAGGCAGUCCAGAUUUAAAUCUGGAUAUAACCACAUUUAAAGCCAAAUCGUUGGUUCUUUCCAAGCCAAAUUCUAAAACACAUAACCAAACCUUUCGACAAGUCAUCUACUUCGUCGAAACCCCAAAAGCCAUAAAACUUGAACUACGAGUGACUUGAUCCCUUAUGGGGUACGUAGGCAGCCUGUAAAACAAAUCGGGUGCAGUCGCAAUUCCCCUCGAACACACAUUCCCCAUUUGUUACUUUGUAAUUAGAAUCAAAGGGUCUUCCCCCGAAAGCAAGGGUUGUAAUUAAGAAAUUUAUUUUAUUUCGAAUGGGUCGAACCAGACAUAAUUAAAACUCUAUUUUAAUCAAUGAGAUAGAGUGAAAUUGUGUUGGGUAUAUUUAUUUACAAUUUUUGCUCAACAUAGUUUUUGGCGACUUCACUGGGGACUCUCAACUGGUCAUCAGACAAAUAAAUGACGAGUAUGCAGUCAAAAAUGAGAACCUUAUAUCAUACUACCAAAGAGUUAAAUAUCUCCUGGGACAAUUUCGAGAGAUAUAUGUUGGCCACAUUCCAAGAUCAGAGAAUGAUAAAGCAGACGCAUUGGCUAACUUGGCAGCUUCUUUAGUACUUCCUGAAGAGAAAGACAUCCAAAUAACAGUUGGAGAACGUCGAUUGCAGUCCUACGUCACUUGAACGAAUGGAAGCUACCAAUGAAACAAAUGUAGUUUCUGUGUUCGAAACUGAGGAAGAAUCUGAUUGGCUCAAAUUGAUGCAGUGAACGAGCAAGAGAGGAAAGUAUGAUUCAAAGUCUCCGAGCAAACACCACAAAGCUCACAUCUAGAAACCCAAGGAAUACCUCGACGCUGAAGUAAAACAUCAGAAAUAACUCUACCUCUUAACACCUUCCAUGCUAGGAAAGACAUUCUUGGCAGAAUAUAUUUAGCCCAUAAUCUCUUACCCCAAAUUACUGGAUUAGAAGAAUGCCGCAUAAAAGUAUAGGCUUGUUUUGCGGUUAACUCAUCGGAGGCUGAAGAGGUCCAUAUAAGUUUGUCAUUAACUGAAGGAUCUUCUGACACAGGGACUUGAUUGAUCAUACCACAUAAGGCUGGGUAGUGCAACUGUAGUAAUGGAGGAAGAUUCCAUGAACCAUUGUCUAUAUAUUUUGACACCAAAUCCGAGUUAUCCUGCAUCAACACAUUAGAACCAAAGAACUCAUUUAUUGGCCUACCCAUAAACUUGUCGCGCCAAAAGUAAAUUCCAUUCCCAGAACCAAUGAACCAUUGAGAAUUAUCUUGAACAGUCUUCCAGAAUUGACGAACACCAGGCCAUAUAGAAGAAGGAGCAUAAGAUUUCCGUCUAGAGAAACGAUUGCGAAUAAAAGCACAACCCUCAGAUUGAGCUGUAUAGAUUUCCCAGCAACGUUUCAAUAAGAGAGAUCGAUUAAGCAGAACUAGUUGUUUGAGCCCCAAGCCACCUUCUGCAAUUGGGGAACAACAAGACUUCCAAGCCACAAGAGGGAUCCCUCUUUUAUCAAUUGAGCCAGACCACAGAAAGUUUCGGCACCAUACCUCAAUUUUUCGCACCACAGACACAGGCCAUUCAUAUACUUGAAAAAUGUAUACCAACAUGCUAAAAAUAACAGACUUGAUAAGCUGCAAACGUCCUGCCAUUGACAAAAAAGAACUCACCCAACUCGAUAACUUUAUCCUUAUUUUGUCAACAAUCUGAUGGAAAUAAGAAGCACGAGGUUUGCCAUGAAAAAUAAGGGCACCCAGAUACAUGAAUGGAGCAGACCCCAAGGGAAUACCCAAGAAGUUCGAAAUAGAAUGCCGCCUUGAAUGUAUACUAUUUCCAAUAAAAACCUGAGACUUCCCUUUGUUGAUAACUUGACCUGAAACUCUACCAUACUCAUCGAAGAACCGCAUAAUCCGCGAUAAAUUCCGCCUAUUGCCCCGAAAAAAAACAAUAACAUCAUCUGCAAAUAGGACAUGAGAUGGAGCAAGAGUAUUUCGUGGAGAAGAGAUACGCUGCAGUUGUCCCGAUGAAACAAGUAAAGAGAUCCCACGACUAAGGACUUCUUCUGCUAAGCAAAAGAGCAAGGGAGAAAGAGGGUCACCUUGACGCACACCCCUUUCACAAGAAAAAUACCCCACAGUCCUCCCAUUAAUCAACAGAGAAAGCUUGGCUGACAGAAGCAAGGCACGCACCCAUUGUACAAAGAUCGGAUCAAACCCAAAAGCCUGAAGAACAUGAAGAAGAAAAUCCCAUGACAGAGUAUCAAACGCCUUUGUAAUAUCAACCUUAAUUGCAAGGUUACCCCCCAUGACAUUUUGAGUUCAACAAAUUAAAGCACUCUGAAGUAGUUAAUAUACAGUCUGAUAUGUUCCUCCCUGCAACAAAAGCAUGCUGUUGAGGAGAAAUAAUACGAGAUGCCACUGAUGCCAACCGGAUAGCUAUGAUCUUUGGGAUAAUUUUAAACACAAAGUUGGUGAGGGCAAUAGGCGAAACUGCUUUAUGGAGUCGGCAUGAUCAACUUUGGGGAUUAAGAUGAUAAUACCUGAGUUAAAGGAAGGAGCCAAAUAACCAUGUUGAAAAAAUACUGAACAGCCUUAACAACAUCAGCACCAACAACAUCCCAGCAAGAGACGAAAAAAUGGCCAUUAAAUCCAUCUGGCCCCGGGGCACUAUCAGGAUCCAUUGAUUUGACAGCUGCCCAAAUUUCCUCUGAUAAUGGAACACUAGUAAGCAUCGUAUUUUCCUCAGGAGUUACCAUAGAGUGAAUCACUUUGGACACCAAGCCACUAUCUUCAUACUCUGCAUGUUUAGUAAAAAGAUUUUUGUAAUAAUCAACUAUAUGAUUUUGGAUAUAAUGAGGAUCCUGAAGCACCUGAUCUCCAUCACGAAGCAGAGUAAUAGAAGAACGAUUUCGGCGCACUUUACACAAAGCAUGAAAAUAAGAAGAAUUACGAUCACCUUCUGAUAACCAUCGCAACCUUGACUUCUCACGCCAAAGAAUUUCCUGAUGCAGAAUAGACUCAUUCAAAAUGGCCUGCAAUUCAGUCUCUUUUUCAAACUCUUCAUCUGAUCCCCCAGAAGCUGCAAUUUUAUUUUGAAUAUCAGCAAGGGCUGCAAGGUCAAACUCAACCCGACGGUGAACAUCCCCAAAGACCUCCCAGUUCCAAGUACGGAGAGAUUUCCUUAAGGUACGCAGCUUAUAUUGCAGGACAGAAUAAGGACAACCAAACGAAGUAGUAGAGGACCAACAUCCUUUGACAAAACUCAUAAAAUCCUUAUGCUCCAACCACAUUUUUCUAAACCGAAAGAGACUAAAACGAGACCCUGUAAACUUAGAAAAGGACAUUAGUAGUGGAUUAUGAUCAGAGCAAGUUCUGGGUAAGGUGCAACAGUCAAACUGAUCCCAUUCCUCCAUCCAAUUCAAAUUAGCAAGACUUCUAUCUAAUCUUAGCUCCACAUUACCACGAAAACCACGCCGUCUCACCCAUGUAAACUCUGCCUCUUUAGUAUCUACAUGAAUAAGUUCACAAACAUCUGACAUUGUCUGAAAUUCCUCACAUGAUCGCCGACAUAGAGGAGCACCUCCUUUCUUUUCAUGAGCACCAAGAACUGCGUUAAAAUCUCCAAAAACCAACCAUGGUCCUGUAACAAAACGACCUUUGAAAUCAGUAAUAUCUUCCCAUAACUUCCGGUGGCCAGAGAUUGUGGUACGAGCGUAGACAGCUGUAAGAAAACAGUUUACCGAAUCAAACAUAACUUGUAAAGAAACCUGCUGAUCCGAGGUAGACAACACCCGAAUCCAUGGAGCCAGAGAAGUCUUACAAAAAACCCAUAGAUUAGGUAAUGCAGAACCCCGGUCAUUUGCACCAACAAAUCGCAUGCCUAACGAACGCCAAAAGAAUAGAGGAAUUGAAGUCAAGGCAACGAAAGGCUCAGCUAUACAUAAAACUUCCAGGUUGUGAACCCGUACAAACUGUUUCAAAGCAUCUUGAGUGGGGACAUUAGCAAUGCCCCGUAUGUUCCAAUAAAGAACCCUCAUUUAGGAGUGUCUUUGGAGCGACGGAGAUAGGCUUCCCUAUUCUCCUUCGAAGCAGCCUUCCUCUUUUGAGACCUGGACAUAACAACAGUAAAACCAUCAUCAAUGUCAACUCGUUCUGUCUCCUCAUACCAGCUAUCAAUUCGAGUUACUGAAUUUGCAGCAACAGCAACCCCAAUGUCAGAAGACUGCUCAUGCAUACUACCACCGGCAGAGUCAUCUUCACUAUUCUGCUCGUUCUGAUCAAUUGCAUACCUAGUAUCAUCUUCUUGCUCAACCACAUUACCAUGGAUAGCUACUGGUACCAAAACCACAUUCACCCCCGGCUCAACCACUUCUUGGACAGGUGCCACCACUUCCACUAGCGGUUCCGGCACAACACUAGAUAUCACUAGUUGGCCGACCGGUGCUGGAGACUUCUGCACAAAGGAAGGACCCUCACCAAAAUCUUCCCUGGGGUUUGGAGUUGAAUCAAUAAUCAUGCUCUUACCUCGAUCUGCUGGAUUAGAUGGGUUUUUAGGCACAUACACUUUGGAGACUCGUUGCUGAUCACGGUUCCUGCGAGAUCGUCUACUACGCUUGCGCGAUCGACCUCUGCCUUUCUCAGUCUCAUUAUCCAUUGGAACCGGGUCAGAAGAUCUAUGCACAUACUUGCAAGCUGUGACAAGGUGCCCAACGUUGCCACAAUGAGCACAAAUAUGUGGAAGCUUCUCAUAAUCCACAGUCUGAACAAAAGACGAACCGCACUUACGCUUGACAACCAAUUCAUGCGGUGGAUCAACAGAGAGAUCAAUAUCAACCAAUAUUCUAGCAAAUAGGGUUCUAGGUUCCCAAAACUCAAGCCCUAGAUCCUAAAACCUCACCCACACCUGAGCAUUAGUAUUACGUUGAUUCGCUGGGGAGAAAUUUGGAACCCAUCGCAUGAAACGCAAGAAGCCAGGCUUGAGAGCAAUUGCACCCUUUACCCAGACUGUAGAGAGAUCCUCAUCCGUAGAGAAGCUAAACGUGAAAUAACCUUUUCCCAUGGGAAUAAUCUUCCAAGCCCCUAGACUUCCCCAAAGAAGAGAAAGCUUAUGAGACAGAUCUGAUGCAGAGUAGGGUUUAUCCCUCAAACCCAAUUGCACCCUUCCGAUUAACAUAUGUUUACAAUUAUCCAAACCCGAUUGAUAGCCCUCUUCUGAAAUAGUAACAGUUGUCUUGCCAUCUAAAAUCUCAGGAAUAGGUAGAUCAUCAAUUGGGAUGAAAGCUUGCGCCGCCGCCGCCGCAUAAGAUUUCGUCGGCUUCGCAGCCCCCUCGUCGAGAAAAGACCACGGGCAGAAGGGACGAUGCUGAACAGCCAUGACGUCGUGAAGCAAACGGAACUCGAAUUCAAGGAUUUACUGCAGGGAGGCUCCAGCACGGGGAAACCCUAGCAGAGCCAUCACCAACAUAAUGUAACUCGAUGCAUCACAUCCAUUAACACACUAUAGUCUUACCUUUUAAGUUGAGUCAAUGCAAGAGUUGCACUAUUUAGACCAUUUGGUUCUUCCGAAAAUAUGUAUUAUAUUUUUGAGAAUUUCAACGUCUGUAGUAGAGUCGACGAGGAUUUUAGAUUUGAUUUCGUCGAUGGCGUUGUCGAGCUAUUGCGUCAAUAGGAUGAUGAAGAGCAACCGGAAUCACCUCUCUUCUGACGCAAUUUGUUUUUCAAAGAUCUGGUCCGUUGCACUGGCCGGUCGAAGCCUUUUCAGUUCUCAAAACAGUUCAGAAACUACAGGUCUGAUAAUGAAAUGCAUAAAACAUUUAUAACUAUUGGUAAUUUAUAUCCUAGAGUUGUUCGAGUGUACUAACCACAGGAAAUAACGAUCUAGCUAGACUACCUUAUUUUCGUUAGGGCUGCUCUAAUUAGUCAACAUAUGCAGCUAGGUGAUGAUAAACUUACCCAAUUCGUUGUGAAAAUAAUUGAACCAUCAGUAGCCGUGAUAGUCCUUACGUACCUGCCCUUUCAUGAGCCUUAAUAUUUGGUGGCUUAUUAGCUACGCACUAAUGGUAGUUAAUUGUGCUUAUUUUGUGCAUGUGUGUUCUAAUACAAUUACCUACCUAGUUCUAAUUGUUCUAAUUCGUCGUGGAAUGUUUUCAGAGGAGAAAACUGAAUGGGGUAGCAUAGAGCCCUAUUACAAAAUAAUGUAUCUAUAACCUUCUCUAAUUUACAUAGUAAUUGACGCAAUUUGGCCGAACUGUUUCUGAACACACUGCUUCAGUUCUUUAUAAACCACGUACCAUAUGUAUGUAUUCAAGUGUCAGAUAUACUGAACCUACAUCGCCAAAAUGGAGAGAAUUCAGGUCAGUAUAAUUUCCAAACACACCGUCAAACCAUCAGCUUCCUCUUCACUACUUCGGGAUUGUCUAUGGUACAGCGCUGUAUGCCAUACAUCCUCUAACAGGACUUGUGUGCACGUGCCUUGCAGUGGGGGUGGGUGUUUUGUUUUGAAAUUUUUAGCCUUGAAAGCAGGCUGCAUAUCAUGCAGGGCUGCAGAUAGAAUUUUCCCUGAAUAUCACGCAUAUCAGCGCUGCAUGAUAUGUAUGAUUGUCUAUGGUACAACGCUGCAUAUCAUGCAGCGCUGCAUUAAAGCAGACUGCAUAUCAUGCAACGCUGCAGGAUAUGCAGCCUGCUUUCAAGGCUAAAAAUUUCAAAAUAAAACACCCCCACCUGCAAGGCACGUGCGACACAAGUCCUGUUAGAGGAUGUAUGGCAUACAACGCUGUACCAUAGACAAUCCCACUACCCUACUUCAGCCUUACAAGCUUACCCUGCUCGACCAGCUCACUCCUCCAUCGUAUGUCCCCAUGGUAUUCUUCUACCCCAUUACUGGCCCUGCAGUCUUCAAUCUUCAAACCCUAGCUGACUUAAGACAUGCCCUUUCCGAGACUCUCACUUUGUACUAUCCACUCUCUGGAAGGGUCAAAAACAACCUAUACAUCGAUGAUUUUGAAGCCGGUAUCCCAUACCUUGAGGCCCGAGUGAAAUGUGACAUGACUCAUUUUCUAAGGCUUCCAAAAAUCGAGUGCCUAAAUGAGUUUGUUCCAAUAAAACCAUAUAGUAUGGAAGCAAUAUCUGAUGAGCUUUACCCCUUGCUUGGAGUUCAAGUCAACAUUUUCGAUUCUGGGAUAGCAAUAGGUGUCUCCGUCUGUCACAAGCUCAUCGAUGGCCGAACGUCAUACUGUUUUCUCAAGUCCUGGGGUGCUGUUUUUCGUGGGUGUCGUGAUGAAAUCAUACAUCCUAAUCUCUCUCAAGCAGCAUUGCUUUUCCCACCGAGAGAUGACCUGCCUGAAAAGUAUAUAGCUUUGAUGGAAGGGUGGUCGAUUGCCGUAAAGAAAGUUGCUACAAGGAGAUUUGUAUUUGGUGCGAAAGCCAUAUCUGCAAUUCAAGAUGAAGCGAAGAGCGAGUCCGUGCCCAAGCCAUCACGAGUUCAGGCCGUCUCUGGUUUUCUCUUGAAACAUCUUCUCUCUGCUUCUCGGGCAUCAUCAUCAGGUAAAUCAGUUUAUGUGUCUUCUUAAAAGUGCACCACAUGCAAUUGCGUGAUUGGCAAAGGAGGGCUAGGCGUGAUUAAUUAAGCUAGAGAAGACAAGGUUUUUCCAUUAAUUGUUAGUGAGGCUUGCUCAAAUGCGAGCGUACAAGAGUUUUCAGUAGCUUUAUUUCUGCUGCUUAGGUUAUACCGGAUUUGUUUUGUAAGUUAGAAAAAUACAACUUAUUGGAUAUUGUUAUAAGCAUCUAAUUAAUGAUAUGAAUGAAAAAGAAAAAAGAUCGUACACUUAACAUUUUUCUGCUAUUAUUUCAUACUUAUUUUAUAUUUUUGUAUUACAUAUACUGUACAUAGCUUAAAAAUGAGAAAAUAUAUGAACUUUUGCAGGUACUACUUCAACAAAACUUUCUAUAGCAGCUCAGGUAGUGAACUUAAGAUCACAGAUGAACAUGGAGACAACGUUGGGUAAUGCCAUUGGAAACCUGAUGUGGUGGGCUCCGGCCAUACUAGAGUUAAAUCAUAAAGCACGAGAGAGCAGCGAUCCUAAGCUGUGUGACUUGGUUAUCUUGCUCAAUGAAUCUGUCAAACAAUCUAACAGUGAUUACUUCGACACUUUCAAGGGUAAAGAGGGAUAUGGAAGAAUGUGUGAGCAUCUAGAUAUGGAGGGGACUGUAAGUUCUGUAGAACCAGCACCAGAGAUAUAUUCAUUCUCGAGCUGGACUAGAUUUUUCGACCAAAUUGAUUUUGGAUGCAUGGGGGAGGUCAUCUUGGAUUGGAGUUACCGGAAAACAAUCUGCAUAUUGGAAUUCCACAGUUUUAGUACCAACACAAUGUGAUACUGGAAUUGAAGCGUGGGUGAAUCUAGAUGAAGAGAAAAUGGCUAUGCUAGAACAAGAUCCCCAGUUUCUAGCAUUAGCAUCUCCAAAGACCCUAAUUUCAAGGUAUUGAUUAUGAAAGAUUAUGUGGCUCGUGCAAUGUUUCCAUUUGCAGUGAAUAAGGAUUAAAUUAGUUCCCCGGCCAAUUAAUAAGAAGCAAGGUAUGAUAGACUAUGGCUACGUAUGUUAGUAUGUUAUCCGAAUGUGCUUCGUUAUGCUUUUAACCAAUAUAGCUCUGUUUUGUAACAAUGCUCUAUUGAGCUUCUAACUAUAGAGUUAUUUUUCUUGAUUAGAAAAAGAAACUAUGCAAGUUUUGUUUUGUUAAGCUAUUCUGUUUCUAAAAGAAAGGCUAUUCUGUUUCUAAAACGGGAUGCAUGUAUUACCUAAAAAGAUGAUUCACCUAUAAUUAUUUUUCAAGUAAAUGAUUAUUUGAUAGCAAUCACGCCGUGUAUUUCUAUAGCUAAAAUUGUAAUUUAGAUCAGUGACAACAUGAUUAAAAGUUACAUAUUCUGAUACAUUUGUUAUUUAACGACAAGUGUGGCCAUAAUGCCUCACCUAGUCACCUAAUGCGAAGACCUCUACGAGAGACUAAUGUCGUCUGAUCUUCUUUUCUUAAUCAAAAGAAACGAAAAUGGCCACAAUGCCUCACUAUUCAUAGAACCAUACAAUAAUUUGGAACAUAUGCAUGGAUGCAAAGAAAAAUAACACAAGAACCAUCAUAAUUUCACAUUAUAUGAGAAACUUAGCCAAAUCCGAAUCACAUCCAUGUUGGCCAAGAGUGACUAAAGAAGACCACCCAGAAAGCUAGAAAACCAUAAAAUCCAGAAAACUUGAAUAAGCUAGGGAAAAAACAAAAAUGUGACAUUCCAUUUCUUCUUGCGGUUUUGUUAGGCCAAAUCAAAAUCUCAAUGACCCUGCAAUCAUUUACACACACUCUUUCUCAAUCUCUGCAAAACUGACUGCUUCCCCUGAAAACUUGCGCAAUAGGGUACCUAGCUCUCUGGCCUUUUCUUUCUAAUGCACAAUUUAUGGCUUUUGGUAAUGAUGAUUUUAUGCUUGUGGAUCUCAGAUGGGUUUGUUUUGUUUUGGGAUUUUUAUAAAUGAAUGCAUUGAAAAUGUUGAAAGCUUAUGCCUUUGUUCCUUGGUUCAGUGUUCUGGUUUUGUGUACGUACGAGAGUUGAAAUGUGAUCUCUAGUAUCGGUAAAGAGAAAUGUUCUAACCAUGCUAGUGUUAGUAAUUUAUCUUCUAAAGUUGUUUGAGUACUUUACUCUCUUACUUUACUAACUAAGCAUAGGAAAUAACGACCUAAACUACCUGAUUUUCGUUAGUGCUUGUAAACACGAAAAUUCCUGUAACGAAUAACAGAAAGACAUGUGUACAAAAUAAUAUAUUUGUAUUGAUUGAAUUUGCGGGUUACAAUCUCUAUGGGUAUUCUUUUAACAAGAAUGUCCUCUGAUUCGAUCUCCGAUGUUGAUUUGAUCCAAGGGUGACAAGCACUUGAUCUUGAAUUGAACUGUUGUAGUUUGAACUUCUUAUUGUGUUGACGAUUUGUAGAAGGAAGUUGACCAAGGGCCAUAGAGGCUUGAUCUUGGUCGAAUAUGGGCCGCGAGAGGUGUCACGUGGUGAACGUUCUUCGACUUGAUAGCGGAUGAAUCGGCACGUGUGUUUGGUACUUGUUGAUUCUCCACGAGGUUGUUGAAGAACUUGGUAGAAGUUUUGAUUUGUUGAAAGACUUGAAGACGAGGGUUGAUCAAGGGCCGUAGAGGCUUGACGUUGAUCGAGUUUGGGCCGAGCAGUUCCACAUGGUGGUUGCUCUUCGUCUUGUAGUUGGUGAAGAUGUCAGCUAUUUGGCAACUUGGGACUCUUCGGGAUUUGACAACCUAUAGGCUUGAGGUUGAUGAAGAAUCAACUAUUUGGCAGCUUGAUGAUUCUUCAAGGGUUUUGGGAGAAUUCUAAACUCUCGGGAGUAAUUUUUCUCUCUUGUCUGAAAGUCGUCCUCUUGAUAUGAGAGGGGGUAUUUAUAGUGUUAAUGCUCCUCCGUAAAUGGAAUGCAUUGAAGUCACAGCUUUAAUUAUAUUUCCUUAAUGAUAUAAUUAAAUCAAUCACUUUUGAUUGAUUGAUUCAAUUAUUCAAUUUCCCAUAAUUAAAUCAAUCAGUCUUAAUUGAUCGAUUUAGUUAUGAUCGAUAAGGUAUUUCACUAAUUUGAUUAAAUUCCGACUUCCUUUUCGAUAAUUGAUUUGAUUUGAUUGAUGUUUGAUUAUCGAUUGACAUUUAAUAUUUUAUUUUAGUUGGGAUUGAUGAUUUUGUUGUCGACCGACCAUUCACACGCCGCCACGUGUUAUUUUCGAAGACUUUUCAACUUUGCUGACUCACGAGCCACGUAUGCACGAGACUUUUCAACGUCUCUAAUUUACAUAGUAAUUGACGCAAUUUGGCCGAACUGUUUCUAAACACACUAAGCUUCAGUUCUAUAUAUACCGCGUACCACAUGUUUCAUCAAGUGUCAGAUAAUACAGAACCUACUUCGCCAAAAUGGAGAAAAUUGAGGUCAGUAUAAUUUCCAAACACACCAUCAAACCAUCAACUUCCUCUUCACCACUUCAGCCUUACAAGCUUACCCUGCUCGACCAGCUCACUCCUCCAUCGUAUGUCCCCAUGGUAUUCUUCUACCCCAUUACUGGCCCUGCAGUCUUCAAUCUUCAAACCCUAGCUGACUUAAGACAUGCCCUUUCCGAGACUCUCACUUUGUACUAUCCACUCUCUGGAAGGGUCAAAAACAACCUAUACAUCGAUGAUUUUGAAGAGGGUGUCCCAUACCUUGAGGCUCGAGUGAACUGUGACAUGAAUGAUUUUCUAAGGCUUCCGAAAAUCGAGUGCCUAAAUGAGUUUGUUCCAAUAAAACCAUUUAGUAUGGAAGCAAUAUCUGAUGAGCGUUACCCUUUGCUCGGAGUUCAAGUUAACAUUUUCAACUCCGGAAUAGCAAUCGGGGUCUCCGUCUCUCACAAGCUCAUCGAUGGAAGAACUUCAGACUGUUUUCUCAAGUCGUGGUGUGCUGUUUUUCGUGGUUCUCGUGACAAAAUCAUACAUCCUAAUCUCUCUCAAGCAGCAUUGCUUUUCCCACCAAGAGAUGACUUGCCUGAAAAGUAUGCCCGUCAGAUGGAAGGGUUAUGGUUUGUCGGAAAAAAAGUUGCUACAAGGAGAUUUGUAUUUGGUGCGAAAGCCAUAUCUGUAAUUCAAGAUGAAGCAAAGAGCGAGUCCGUGCCCAAGCCAUCACGAGUUCAGGCUGUCACUAGUUUUCUCUGGAAACAUCUAAUCGCUACUUCUCGAGCACUAACAUCAGGUAUGUAAAAUCAGUUUAGCAACAAGCCAAAUACUAAAGCAACUAAAUAAAAACCUAUUGUAUUUGGGGUAGUCCCUUAUUAGCUGUUGUCCUAAACUUCUAACGAUAUGAACUUUUUUCUCAAAAGAAAAAAAUAGUACACUUAACAUUUUCUGUUAUAAUUUCAUACUUAUUUAUAUAUUUUUAUUACAUACAUAGCUCAAAGAAUGAGAAAAUAUAUGAACCUGCAGGUACUACUUCAACAAGACUUUCUAUAGCAACCCAGGUAGUGAACAUAAGAUCACGGAGGAACAUGGAGACAGUGUGGGAUAAUGCCAUUGGAAACUUGAUAUGGUUCGCUCCGGCCAUACUAGAGCUAAGUCAUACAACACUAGAGAUCAGUGAUCUUAAGCUGUGUGACUUGGUUAACUUGCUCAAUGGAUCUGUCAAACAAUGUAACGGUGAUUACUUUGAGACUUUCAUGGGUAAAGAGGGAUAUGGAAGCAUGUGCGAGUAUCUAGAUUUUCAGAGGACUAUGAGUUCUAUGGAACCAGCACCAGAGAUUUAUUUAUUCACGAGCUGGACUAAUUUUUUCAACCAACUUGAUUUUGGAUGGGGGAGGACAUCAUGGAUUGGAGUUGCAGGAAAAAUUGAAUCUGCAUUUUGCAAUCUCAUAACAUUAGUUCCAACACCAUGCGAUACUGGAAUUGAAGCGUGGGUGAAUCUAGAAGAAGAAAAAAUGGCUAUGCUAGAACAAGAUCCCCAGUUUCUAGCACUAGCAUCUCCAAAGACGCUAAUUUCAAGAUAUUGAUUAAGGAAGAUUAUGCGGCUCGUGCAAUGUUUCCAUUUUGUUGUGAUUAAGGCUUAAAUUAGUUCACCAGCCAAUCAAUAAGAUGCAAGUAUGAUAGACUCGGUCUACGUAUGUUAUCCGAAUGUGUUUCCACAUGCUUGUAACCAAUAUAGCUCUUGUUUGUAACAAUGCUCUAUUAAGCUCUUCUAUCCAUAAAGUUAUUUCUCUAUUAAAAAGAAAACUAUACAAGUUUUGUUAAGUUUUUAAGGUAAGAUGCAUGUAGUACCCAAAAAGAUGGUUGACCUGUCAUUAUUUUCAAGUACAUGAUUAUCCGAUACAAUUACAUCAAAUAUUUCUAUAGCUAAAAAGUAUGUAAUUUUGAUCCGUGACAACAUGAUUAAAAAGUUAUAUAUUAUGAUGCAUUUAUCCUCUAACGACAAGCAUGGUCAUAAUGUCUCACCUCAUCACCUCACCAAGCGCGGAUCCAGUUCACAAGUGGGUAAGGCUCAAGCCCAACCAAGAAAAUUGGGGGAAAAAAAAACCUAAGUAUAGAUAUAUAUUUUUUUGGGUGAUAUAUCAUAUAUGCCCAGCCAUCAAGUGACCAAGCCCAACCCACCUAACUCAACCCAUCCCACUAACUACCCAAGUCCACAAUCAUCACUCAUCACUCAUCCACCCAACCUCCUUCAUCGAAGGAGUCCUUUAACUAAUCAGCUUAAACACCAAGUCUAAAAGUCUUCCCUGCUCUUCCCCUCCGCCUCCACUCAGUCACUCACCUAUGACCUAUCCCGGCUAUCCGGCUAUCCCUCUUCCCCUCCAGUCCUCCACGGCUCCACCAUAAUCUCCUUCUUCCCGGCCUCCUCCGGUCCUCCGAUUCCUCCCGGAUAGCGACGACUCGCCUCCGGCGGUCCGGACCUCCGCGGCUCCGCCUCCAGUCCUCCACUCACCUAUCCCUCUUCCAGCUGCUAGAAAGCUUGUUCGAGACUUGGUCCUCCACAGACAACCCAUUAGUCCAUUACCCAUCUUUCUUCACUCUCAGCCAGCAUGGUUGUACUAGAAAUUUUUUUUUGGCCUUCGGCCAAAGUUCAAGCCCACCCCAUCUUUAAAUCAUGGAUCCGCCACUGCACCUCACCAUAGUGUCCUAUCCUCUUAGGAGAAGGUAGGCACCUAAUGCAAAGGCCUUUAUGAGAGACUAAUAUCGUCUGAUCUUCUUUUCUUAAUCAAAAGAAAUGAAAAUGGCCACAAUGCCUCACUAUUCAUAGAGCCAUACAAUACUCUGGAACAUAUGCAUGGAGACAAAGAAAAAUAACACAAGAACCAUUAUAAUUUCACUUUAUACGGGAAACUUAGCUAAAUCCGAAUCAUGGGCGGAGCCAACCCAGGUGAAAUUUUGAAGCCCAAAAAAUUACCUGAAACAUCGUCGUUUGGGUGUAGGUUAUUUCUCCGUUUACUUCUUCUCAAUCUUAGUCAUAACUCACACCAUUGCGUCCGUAGCCCGUCGUUGUCGCUAGAGCGGUCGCCAUUUCCCAUAGCCCGCGCCGUCGCCCGUAGACCACAUCCCGAGUCAGUCAGUCCCCACUUGGCUACUUCCCCAGGUAUGGCUCAAUCGGAUUGCUUAUAUUCUGAUCGUGGACAUAGCAGGCUUCAAUUCAAAAGCCAUCAUAUUCAUAUGCUUCAAUGUUGCUUUACUUCGUCUAUAACUAGAGUUUCAGCUUUGCUUCGUCUUCAAUGUUGAUAUGUUGAUAUAAAAUAUUAACUUGAUUAGGAUUUGUUGAUAUAGAAUAUUACCUUGAUUAGGAUUUGUUGUUAUGUAAUAUGUAUUAGGAUAUUUAUUACUCAUAUUAGGAUUUGUUAUAUGAUCUUACAUCCUUACGAAUGAAUAUACAUCAACACAAUCGAAAUCUGCAUGGUCAUAUUAGCCUUAACUAGUUCAGUCCAAUUCAUAUUAGUCUUAAACUAGUUCAGUCUAAUUCCUCAUGGGUAUAUGCUGAACUUUAAGAUGUUGAUCUUCUAUAAUAACUGAGUUCGAUACCAGAAAUCUUUGAUGAUUGUCCACAUAUGUUAUCUUAUAAUCCUAUAUUAAUUUGUACUAAUCUCAUAGUCUUAAUUUGAAAGCUCCUUAUACGUCUUAACUUGGAUAUGGAUGUGGAUUUGAUCUUAUUAUAUGUAAUAUUAAAGUGAAGUUGUUGUAUUACACAGAAUGUUUGAUGAAUAAAUAACAAAUUGAUCGCGUCAAAAGGCUAGAUCAAAAAAUUUCUUGCACCAUCGAACAAAUUUUCUUGUGUAUACAAUUUCAUGGUUCCGCCACAUUGGCAACAAAGAGUGAUUGGAAAAGAAGAACACCCAGAAAGAUAAAAACCAUAAAACUUGUUUAAGCGAAAAAAACAAAAGUAUGCCAUUCAUUUCUUCUUGCGGUUUUGUUAGGCCAAAAAUCAAAAUCCCAUGAUACCCAAUCAGUUACACACUCUCCCUCUCAAUCUCUACAGAACUGACUGCUUCCCCUGAAAACUUGCGCAAUAAGGUACCCAUCUCUCUGGCCUUUUCUUUGUAAUGCAUAUAAGUUCCUGUAAAUUUUAAAGCUUUUGGAAUGAUGAUUUUAUGCUUGUGGAUCUCAAGAUGAGUUUGUUUGUUUUUUUCGGGAUUUUUAUAAUGAAUGCAUUGAAAAUGUUGAAAGCUUAUGCCUUUGUUCCUUGGUUCAGUGUUUUGGUUUUGUAUACGAGAGUUGAAAUGUGAUCUCUAGCUUGACUGUUGGUAUUGGUAAAGAGAAAUGUUCUAGAAAACCAUGCUAGUAUUAGUAAGUUAUCUUCUAAAGUUGUUCGAGUACUGUACUAAGCAUAGGAAAUAACGACCUAAGCUACCUUAUUUUCGUUAGUGCUAGCUGCUAUGAGAAACUUACCCAAUUCGUUGUUAAAAAUAGGGAAAAUACCCAAAUACUCAAAAAUUAGAAAGCUAAAACCCAUUCCAAUGAAAUUAUAAUCCUUUAGCUCAUUCCUAUGUUACACCGAUACUCCACCCCACGGACACUCCAACACUCCCGACACACCGAUAUCGAUACGAUACACCAAAAUGUGUGUCCGACACGCCACGUGGCGUGUCAAAAAAAGUUGACUUUUUAGACACGUUACGUCAGCCUGAGACACGCCAAGUCAGUGUGUAUUGAUUGAAAAAAAAAAAUACAGAACUAAAAGUCUAAAACCUAAUCGAAGAGGAAGCCCACUUUAAAGAAGCCGCAUAGAAGAGGAACGAUGUCACCGUUCACUAUCACUGCGAGAACGACGUCGUCUGUCCAUGUCAGUGUGAUUGUUCCUCCGAUGACACCACUCUGCGAGAACGACGAGAACAGCGUCGCCUUUCUCUGUUACAGCGACUCGUCCUCCGUCGGCCUAAACCCUCUCUUUAGUGUAAGGUUAAUCUUAAUCUCAGCUUUGACGUGUUUGGUGAUUGCAGUCUCAUUUGCAGUAACAGAAAAGCAUAUAAGAUUUUAAUCAUUUUAUGAUCAUUCUGAUACCACUUAUAGAUUUUUAAGGCAAUGUGCUAUUGAAGCAUCUGCACUGUGAUGUUAAGUGUCAUGAUAUUGCUCAAUUGCUGAUAGGGUAGGAUGGAGCUAGACAUUUGAGACUUUGCAAAAUUGAGUUUAUACCUACUAGUAUUAGAUCAUCAAUUAGUUGAGAGUUUGUAGGAGGUCAGGUUUUAUACUUGGUGAGAAACAUCGGCUCAUCUGUAUUUGUAAGGAAGAUUUAAUUGAAAGGAGUUGUGUAUGGAUUGCUUAUUUGUUUAUCUUUGCUCUGUUAAUUGUUAAUAUGUUAUGAUAUGCUGCUGUGUCUAUGCUGAUGUGCUUAUGCUACUGUGUGUCUAUGCUACUGUGUCUAUGCUAUUGUCUUAUGUUGUUUUGUUGGAUUAUUAUGAUUAGGAUGAGUUCAAGUGCGACAUCUACUGAACCUAGUGUUGAAUCAACUAAGCCUGAAAAAUUAGAUGCUCCUCUAUCAAGGAUAAAGGAUGAUGCCAAUGCAUGCGUGCCUUGCUCUUAUGUAUUUUGAAUAUCUCAGUUAUGGGGUUUUAGGCAGUUGGUGUUAUUAUAGGGUUAGGAAAGUCGGAUUUUCAUUCAGUUUGAUGAAUGUGUUGAAUUAGAUAAAACUAUUUAGUAAUCAUCCUUUAGAUUAAAUAUUGACUCUCUUUUAUGUUAUUUGUUACAGUUAUGCAAUUGCUUAAAUUUAGAGCAUUAUUUAAGCAAUGUGAUAAAUUUAUUCAUAUUUGAGCAUUUUUUUAUUAAUUAGAAAUAUACAAAUAAGUAAUUAUAUUUGCCGUGUCUAAGCCGUGUCGAAAAUGUAGUCUUUGAGUUUUGCCGUGUCGCCGUGUCAGUACGUAUCGUGUCGCCGUAUCCGUGUCCGUGUCCAUGUAACAUAGGCUCAUUCCAAUGAUUCUUAUGCAAAAGACAUUAUUANNNNNNNNNNNNNNNNNNNNCUCUCUCUCUCUCUCUCUCUCUCUCUCUCUCUCCUCUCUCUCUCUCUCUCUCUCUCUCUCUCUCUCUCUCUCUCUCUCUCUCGGUGUACGACGAUGCAAGGUUGAAGACGCAGCCUCCUACUGAGUCGACGAGACCGCGCUCGUGGUCGUGAUUCUCCUCAACAGCGACAUCGAUUUUGGCGGCACCUCUCGGAGAUGAUCCUCAUCUGCCAGAACCUCUGCAACAAUCUCUAGAGCCCUAACGAGCACAUCCGGGGCGUCACGCUCCAGUUCCUCUACUGGUUGAGCAAGUUGGAGAUUGUCCGGCCGUUGAUUUCAUCGAUUUUGGCCAAUCUAGUCAGAGAUUGAGGUCUGUGUUUAGUGCAAACAUGGAUAACGUUCUUCUUCUCCUUUUUUUAUCGGAGAUCGUGUUUUUGUUUUUGUUUUGGUCAGAGAGAUUGUGGUUUUUUCCCCUUUUUUUUUCAAUAUAAUGGUUAUUAAAUGAUAGUAUCUUGAUUAUUGGAGUAAUUAGUCUAUUAUUGGGAGGUAAGAAGUAUCUAGUGGAGGUCAAUAAACAUUUAUUGACCCCAAUAUUGCUUUUAUAAAUUUUUUUUGAGAUGUAGGGAUUUGCCUUAGAGGUAAAAACUUCCUUUUUAACUCGAUUACUAGGAAUCAUUAACUGAUUAUUGAGGUUAAGUAACUGAUUAUUGAGGGUCAGUAAGUGAUUAUUGGGGUUCAGUAACUGAUUAUUGGGGGUUAAUAACUGAUUAUUGGGGGUCAUUUUGAGAGUCAGUAACCGAGUUAUUGGUGAUCAGAAUCCAGCAACCGGAAAAAAUCUGAGUUACUGGGGGUCAGUAACUAAGUUACCGGUUAUCGGAAUCAGGCGACCGGAGAAAAUAUGAGUUACUAGGAGUCAAUAACGGCGACCGAAGAAAUUUCUGGCAACCGGGGACCGGAAUCCGGCGACCGGCAACCAGAGUCCGGCGGCGGGUGACCGGAGUCCGGUGAGAUUCCGGCCAAGUAUUCUCUCUCUUCCACUUUCUCUCUCUAUACAUGUUGAAGUGGUGAGAGUAAAAUUGUCUUAAAAAUAUAUAAAAAUUAUUUUUUAUUAUAACAUUAGUAAAGAUUUGUGCAUAAAAAAUGUUACCUUAUAUUGGAAUGAGCUCAUGAAAAAGAUUAACAUUAAAAUGGGGAAUAAGAGGUUUAAAUUAGUAUUAAAUUGACAUUUUCCCUUUAAAAUAAUAACAGAACCAUCAAUGCCGUGAUAGUCCCUUAAUAUUUGGUGGCUAAUUAGUAAUGCAUUCAUGGUAGUUGUGCUUAUUUUGUGCAUGUAUUCUAAUUCUAUCACUUGCAAAAUCGUUGUGGAAGGUUAAGAGGAGAAAACAGAAAAUGGGGCAGCAUGCAUCUCAUUUUAUUUCCGAUCAUAUUUUCAUAUCAUAGACGUUCACUAUUUAGAUAUACAUGAGUUGAUCAUCUCUACAAAAUUUCAACUAAUUUAGUUAUCAUUAAGGUAUCGAAAAUGUAUUAAAUCAAUGAACGAACCGAAUCUGUUCAUCCUGAACUGUACGUUCUAUUAGUUCUAAAUCACAGUUUUGAAUGUCUUAAUGAUUAUCAACUUGGCUGAAAAUUUAUAUAGAUGAUCUACUGAUAUAUAUACCUAAAAUAUGAACGGUUGAGAUGAGAAAAUAUGAUCGAAAGUGGGACAAAUAAUGAAAUCCGUACCUUAGAUAAGGUAAGGAGGUCCUUACCUGAUCAAGAUUGUGUGUGUGUGUCUAUAGAGUUUAGGGUUUAGAGUUUUAGGGUGUCAUGAAGAUAUCAUACAUCCUAAUCUCUCUGAAGCAGCAUUGCUUUUCCCACCGAGAGAUGACUUGCCUGAAAAGUAUGCCGGUCAGAUGGAAGGGUUAUGGUUUGCCGGAAAGAAUGUUGCUACAAGGAGAUUUGUAUUUGGUGCGAAAGCCAUAUCUUCAAUUCAAGAUGAAGCGAAGAGCGAGUCUGUGCCCAAGCCAUCACAAGUUCAGGC